UACGUAGGGUGCAAGCGUUAAUCGGAAUUACUGGGCGUAAAGCGCACGUAGGCGGAUCUUUAAGUCAGGGGUGAAAUCCCAAGGCUCAACCUUGGAACUGCCUUUGAUACUGGGGAUCUCGAGUCCGGAAGAGGUUGGUGGAACUGCGAGUGUAGAGGUGAAAUUCGUAGAUAUUCGCAAGAACAACCAGUCGGCGAAGGCGGAGCCAACGUCGGAUCCGGUUACGUCGG
rnacentral:rRNA from 1 species